rnacentral:rRNA from 1 species
AUUGAACGCUGGAGGUAUGCUUAACACAUGCAAGUCGAACGUGAAAGCCUUCGGGUGAGUAGAGUGGCGGACGGGUGAGUAACGCGUAGGAAUCUACCUAUUAGUGGGGGACAACCUGGGGAAACUCAGGCUAAUACCGCAUGGGCACGUUAGUUGUAGUGAUUGAUGUGUAAAGAGGGCUUUAUGCUCUUGCUAGUAGAUGAGCCUGCGUCGGAUUAGCUAGUUGGUGGGGUAAAGGCUUACCAAGGCGACGAUCCGUAGCUGGUCUGAGAGGAUGAUCAGCCACACUGGGACUGAGACACGGCCCAGACUCCUACGGGAGGCAGCAGUGGGGAAUAUUGGACAAUGGGGGCAACCCUGAUCCAGCAAUACCUCGUGUGUGAAGAAGGCCUUCGGGUUGUAAAGCACUUUCAAUUGGGAAGAAGGAGUUGUAGUUAAUACCUGCAAUUCUUGACGGUACCUUUAGAAGAAGCACCGGCUAACUCCG